rnacentral:rRNA from 1 species
UACGGAGGGUGCGAGCGUUAAUCGGAAUCACUGGGCGUAAAGCGCGCGUAGGCGGCUUUUCAAGUCAGGGGUGAAAUCCCACGGCCCAACCGUGGAACUGCCUUUGAAACUGUAGAGCUUGAGUGUCGGAGAGGGUGGCGGAAUUCCAGGUGUAGGAGUAAAAUCCGUAGAUAUCUGGAGGAACACCGGUGGCGAAGGCGGCCACCUGGACGACAACUGACGCUGAGGUGCGAAAGCGUGGGUAGCAAACAGG